AGAGUUUGAUCCUGGCUCAGAACGAACGCUGGCGGCGUGGAUAAGACAUGCAAGUCGAGCGAGAUUUCUUUCUGUAGCAAUACAGGAGGAAGUCUAGCGGCGAACGGGUGCGUAACACGUGGGCAAUCUGCCAAGAAGUGGGGGACAGCUCGGCGAAAGCCGGAUUAAUACCGCAUAUGAUCAGGGGAGACAUCUUCCCGAAAUCAAAGGUGGCGCAAGCUACCGCUUUUUGAUGGGCCCGCGGCCUAUCAGCUUGUUGGUGAGGUAACGGCUCACCAAGGCGAUGACGGGUAGCUGGUCUGAGAGGACGACCAGUCACACUGGGACUGAGACACGGCCCAGACACCUACGGGUGGCAGCAGUCGAGAAUUUUUCUCAAUGGGGGAAACCCUGAAGGAGCGACGCCGCGUGGAGGAUGAAGGUCUUCGGGUUGUAAACUCCUGUCAUUUGGGAACAAUGGUUACGCGUUAACUGCGCGUGACUUGAUAGUACCAGAAGAGGAAGAGACGGCUAACUCUGUGCCAGCAGCCGCGGUAAUACAGAGGUCUCAAGCGUUGUUCGGAUUCAUUGGGCGUAAAGGGUGCGUAGGCGGCGCGAUAAGUCGGGUGUGAAAUCUCGGAGCUUAACUCCGAAAUUGCAUUCGAUACUGCCGUGCUUGAGGACUGGAGAGGAGACUGGAAUUUACGGUGUAGCGGUGAAAUGCGUAGAUAUCGUAAGGAAGACCAGUGGCGAAGGCGGGUCUCUGGACAGUUCCUGACGCUGAGACACGAAGCUAGGGGAGCAAACGGGAUUAGAUAUCCCGGUAGUCC
rnacentral:rRNA from 1 species